AGAGUUUGAUCCUGGCUCAGAAUCAACGCUGGCGGCGUGCCUAACACAUGCAAGUCGAACGCGAAAGUCCCGCAAGGGAUCGGUAGAGUGGCAAACGGGUGAGUAACACGUGGGUGACCUGCCUUCGAGUGGGGGAUAACGUCCCGAAAGGGACGCUAAUACCGCAUGACAUCCUGCCUUUGAACAGGUGGAGAUCAAAGCUGGGGAUCGCAAGACCUAGCGCUUGAAGAGGGGCCCGCGUCCGAUUAGCUAGUUGGUGAGGUAACGGCUCACCAAGGCAACGAUCGGUAGCCGGCCUGAGAGGGCGGACGGCCACACUGGGACUGAGACACGGCCCAGACUCCUACGGGAGGCAGCAGUGGGGAAUUGUUCGCAAUGGGCGCAAGCCUGACGACGCAACGCCGCGUGGAGGAUGAAGAUCUUCGGGUCGUAAACUCCUUUCGAUCGAGACGAACGGCUUCCGGGCUAAUCACCGGGAGAGUGACGGUACCGAGAGAAGAAGCCCCGGCUAACUCCGUGCCAGCAGCCGCGGUAAUACGGGGGGGGCAAGCGUUGUUCGGAAUUACUGGGCGUAAAGGGCUCGUAGGCGGCCAACUAAGUCAGACGUGAAAUCUCUCGGCUUAACCGGGGAACUGCGUCUGAUACUGGAUGGCUUGAGGUUGGGAGAGGGAUGCGGAAUUCCAGGUGUAGCGGUGAAAUGCGUAGAUAUCUGGAGGAACACCGGUGGCGAAGGCGGCAUCCUGCACCAAAUCUGACGCUGAGGAGCGAAAGCCAGGGGAGCAAACGGGAUUAGAUACUCCGGUAGUCCUGGCCCUAAACGAUGAAUGCUUGGUGUGGCGGGUAUCGAUCUCUGCCGUGCCGAAGCUAACGCAUUAAGCAUUCUGCCUGGGGGAGUACGGGUCGCAAGGCUGAACUCAUAGGAUG
rnacentral:rRNA from 1 species